UACGUAGGGUGCAAGCGUUGUCCGGAAUUAUUGGGCGUAAAGAGCUCGUAGGCGGUUUGUCGCGUCUGCUGUGAAACCCGAGGCUCAACCUCGGGCCUGCAGUGGGUACGGGCAGACUAGAGUGCGGUAGGGGAGACUGGAAUUCCUGGUGUAGCGGUGAAAUGCGCAGAUAUCAGGGAGGAACACCGGUGGCGAAGGCGGGUCUC
rnacentral:rRNA from 1 species